GGGUCCAUGGUGUUGGGGGAAUGAUUGUUGUGGUUGUUGGGGCUGCGGAAAUUGUUGUUGGGGCUGGGGAAAAGGUUGUUACUGGGGAAAUGGUUGUUGGGGUUGCUGAGGCUGGGGGAAUGGUGUUUGGGGUUGUUGGGGAAAUGGUAGUUGGGGUCGUUGGGGGAAUGUUUGUUGAGGCUGGGAAAAUGGUUGUUGUGGUUG
rnacentral:siRNA from 1 species